GUUAUUUUCUGCUUCGCAAUUUCAUAUUUUCGAAAGGAAGUUCUACUAGCCAAGUACGCAACAGGCUAUGGUGAACAUAUGGAUCAUAAUAGCUUCUCAUUUUGUUGCCGUCUACGGCGCAAAUAUCUUCACACACAAUCCAAGGUGUCCCAACAAGUAUAUAGAAAAGUGCAUGAGUGAAAAUUUGAAAUGCAGCUGCUUCAUCAAAAGCGACCACGUAACCUACAGGAGAUGUGGAUUGCUUUUGUUGACCCUGCAUUCGUGCUAUUUCAGUUGAACUGGACAAGGACUGUGUUACGUUGUGGCAAAAAUAUUGUCAGGGGGAAGGAUAUUUUGUAAAAUGCAAACCAAGAGGGUUGUGGUUCUGUGGAUGCCAGUGCUGCCACGAACCAACAAUGACUGGCUUUUGCAAGUACAGUUAAGAUGUCAGUGGCACAUUUCGUCUCAACAAGACUGGCAGACUUCAGUACAGUUCACAGCAGUAUAUGUGAUCUUCCCGCAAGAAAAGUUGAGUACGGCAUCAAACCACCACAUCCAGCUAUUUCAGGGCGUUGCGUCAUUACAGUAGACUUCAAAUGAGCCUUACAUUAUUUGCUGAUGCUGUCUGACGGAGUUUGCUCACAAGUCACAAGCAAUUCGUCCGCACACCAAGCGAGCGCACAACGUAACACACUUGAGCUGCAAAGAACUCCCUAAUUGUCUGACAACAAAAACAAAACCGCAACAUUAUUGGACCCACAGAGUGCCGCGACAAUUUGCAUGGUGCUGGUGUCAGGAUAGCUGGUCCACUUAGAAAUGUAAAAAGUAAGUAUUGCUAACCUUUUAUGGAUGCAAGUCUACGCACAUAUAUGGUGCUCACGGUUUUUUAAGAAUAUCGCAUUAGUAAGCGCAAUAAUAUUUUAUGCAUAACAACAUACAUGUAUCCACAGCAUAUGCGCACGCAUAAUUUCAGUUUGAAAUUGUUUGUUUAAAUGGUUUAGUAUGAUACUAUCGCCAUAAUUACAUGAGUAGAAGGAGGUGGGGGAGGACGACAGAAAAAGAACUUGAAGGAAACUAAAGCUCGCCUGUAAGAGUGGAACGCAAUAGCGUUAUCGGGUCCCCUUCACGCCGCCACAGACAACUGAUAUUCGGUGACAUGGGAACCGAAAGAAAAUAGCUGUGGACCGAUCCCGGUAGCAGUGCAGGGAAGUGCAAUGCGUCAUACCCUCGUAAACAAGGAAAAUGGGGUUUGUGUUUGAGUUUCCGUGUAACAAAAUGAUGUUUUCUCCUAUAUACGAAUUACAACUCAAUGCUAUCAUA
rnacentral:lncRNA from 1 species